CUCAACCAAAUAGUUGAAAUAUAAAUUACUCACCUAAUAUCUAAUAUAUAUAUAUAUAUAUUAAAAUGGAAGCUUCUUCUCAAGAGAGGCCUUCGUAUGACGUUUGGGCUCUUGGGAAAAAGGGGAGGCAGCCACGUGGAGCACUCCACAAAUAAACACUGUGCUCUGUGAAUGAACCCUAUGUGUCCCGACUCACCAAUAUGCUCAGA
rnacentral:lncRNA from 1 species